rnacentral:rRNA from 1 species
AAUCAACGCUGGCGGCGUGCCUCAGACAUGCAAGUCGAACGAUUAAAGCUCUCUUCGGAGAGUGUAUAGAGUGGCGCACGGGUGAGUAACACGUAAGUAAUCUACCUUCGAGUGGGGAAUAACGUCCGGAACGGACGCUAAUACCGCAUAAUGCAGCGGCAUCGCAAGAUGACAGUUGUUAAAGAUUUAUCGCUUGAAGAGGAGCUUGCGGCAGAUUAGCUAGUUGGUAAGGUAACGGCUUACCAAGGCUACGAUCUGUAUCCGGUCUAAGGGACGGUCGGACACACUGACACUGAAUAACGGGUCAGACUCCUACGGGAGGCAGCAGUCGGGAAUUUUGGGCAAUGGGCGAAAGCCUGACCCAGCAACGCCGCGUGAAGGAUGAAGUAUUUCGGUAUGUAAACUUACGAAAGAAUAGGAAGAAUUAAUGA